rnacentral:rRNA from 1 species
CCUACGGGUGGCAGCAGUGGGGAAUAUUGGACAAUGGGCGAAAGCCUGAUCCAGCCAUGCCGCGUCUGUGAAGAAGGCCUUCGGGUUGUAAAGCACUUUCAGUGGGGAAGAAAGCCUUGGGGCUAAUACCCUCGAGGAAGGACAUCACCCACAGAAGAAGCACCGGCUAACUCCGUGCCAGCAGCCGCGGUAAUACGGAGGGUGCGAGCGUUAAUCGGAAUUACUGGGCGUAAAGCGCGCGUAGGCGGUUUGAUAAGCCGGUUGUGAAAGCCCCGGGCUCAACCUGGGAACGGCAUCCGGAACUGUCAGGCUAGAGUGCAGGAGAGGAAGGUAGAAUUCCCUGUGUAGCGGUGAAAUGCGUAGAGAUAGGGAGGAAUACCAGUGGCGAAGGCGGCCUUCUGGACUGACACUGACGCUGAGGUGCGAAAGCGUGGGUAGCAAACAGGAUUAGAUACCCCGGUAGUC